UAUGUUGUCAACCAUCAUAUCAAUAAUUGGAUGGAAAUAGCUGUCAGUCUUCUAAAGUAGUUGGGAGUACAUUAUCAACCUGACCCUCAUUAUUACACUUGCUGUCAAGUUUUUAGUUUGCAAGAUUACACCUCGAAAAAUUAGUUAUUUGAACUGGGGAUCUGGAUUUCUCCCUUCCCAGCCACUGAUUUUCAUAAAGUCCAUGGGAACUUAAUUAUCACUGAGACGUCUCCCCCUUUCAAAUGUAGUUUAAACUACAACCAACAAGUUCAAAAGGUGUUGAAUGGAAGUGAGGAGGGACAGCCAGCCAGUCCAGUCACAUAAGCCUUGUUUCCUCGGGGAACAAGGCUAAAGAUUUUUCCUUGAUCUUGAAAUAGCUGCCCUAUGUAAACUGUUUUGAAGUAAUUUCUUCAUACAAAGUACCUUAAUUAUAUACAGCUCUUUCAAAACACAUAAAAGACCAGGUACUUGCCCUGAAGAGCUUGUAUUUUAAGUCAGAUAAAUGUAGGUGAGCCAGUAUUGCCAGUGCAAGAGGGCACAGAGACCGAGCAUCCCAAGGGACUCCCAAGUGGGACCCAGCCUGCCAGAGCACAGCACGAGAAUGCUUGACUUCAGAGCACUGCAUGGAAGUGUUUGAUUUCAGAAGGCAAGAAAUACCCUUGCUCUGCAUAUCAGGCUUCUUCAAUGUGCUUAUGCUCAAGCAUUUUUUCUCUUAAAACAUUAACUGCUUGCGAAAUACCGGAUCAAAGGCAUUGGCAACUGAAAAAAUCUAGAGGACCUGCCUAUCCAUUCCUUGGACAGUGUGGAGGAAGCCAUUUCAAGCACUCUGCAUGAACCUUGAAAGCCAUUUUCUAAUCUGAAAGCAAAAUGCUGCUGCCUUCUUAACCAAGAAAUGUAAAUUUUGUUUGUAUUUAUAUUCAUACCUGUUUAUGCUAGCAUUAAAAUAUUUCCUCUGUUUUUGGCUGGGUUUUUUUUUCUCAUUAGCUAAUGUAAGUUGCCACAGCCAAACCCCUAAUUUAACAGAGCAAUUAAACAUGUGCUUUGCUGGUCUCCAGUGAAAAGAGAGCAUAAGCUACUAUGAUCUGUUGAAUCAAAACUUCAGGAUGUGUCUUGAGGGAUCAGUUGGAUGUUAUUUUCUUAGAUGAGUUCAUCUGAGUCAGCUGAACAUAAAUGAAAACACUUCUUAGAGCACACAUUAGAGAAAAAAGCAGUAUUUUUACUAGUCAUUAGCAACUUUGUGGUAACUAAUAGAUGGUAAUAUCUAUUGUGGACAGAUCUUUAAUUUAAACAUUUAUUUUCCAGCAUAUGUUCAUCUUCAGAGGGGAAAAAAGCAACAAACCAUUUAGAGAAGAAUAAGUUUAAGCUUUAUCAUUCAUUAGAAGAUCAUAAAUGACUGGAUUUCAAGUAACAUGAAAACUUCUGAGACCCUUCUAUCUUCAACAAUUCUUUUAGUGUAGGACCCUUGGAAAUUCAUGCUGGAAAGCCAGUAAUGUGAAAUAUCUUUAAAUCACACUAUUGUAAUUCACCCAGCCAUGAGAAACAGAAAGCCUUGAAGUUCUAGCAGUCACAUGACAUCCCAAAAAGUGCUUUAGCCAAAAACAUUUAAAUAAAUAAACUAUUACUCUUCAGGCUUUAGCAUUCUGCAGAGACUGAGACUGAAAUAUAUCACAAUAACAGUGCCAGGCUUUGUGAGGCUGAAAAUUGCUCUGGAGUAUUGCUGGCUCAACGUGCUGUGAAAAUAUUAGUAGAAAAACUGGAAGGAGCAAUGUACAAAUCAAAGCUAAGAGACAGAAAAGUCUGAGAAGUACAAGACCCACUCGAGUCCUACAGAGAAGAGUUUUCAUAUUGCUCUCCUACAGGUGACACCAUCGUUUUUCUCUUCUGCAGCCCAGGCUUUCCCAGCUGGCCACACGGUGAACCUGACAAAGCUUUUCAGUUUCCCAGCUCUGCACAAGGCUCUGAACAGCAGCCAGCAACAAGCACGGGGAGCUUCUCUUUUGCUUGGCAGACACUUGGGAAAUAACCCUCACAAACUGUCUACGCAUCUCCCAUGUUUGGGAAGUGGGAGUCUUUUUCAGGUUCAAGAGUCAGAAAUUUAUCUAAUCAAAACUGUCUGACACACCAGACAAAAAAAGAUACCCUUCGUGAAUCCAGAAGAAAAACCAUCAAAACUCCCCCCAGAUAAGAGGGAGGGGAAAUAUCCAGAAUUGCCUCUGAUGAGCCUUUUAAAAUCAUAAAUUUCUCCAGAGGAAACAUAAGAAAACUAAACAGAUCUUCAUGUUCUUUUUAUCUGAACUCUGGUUGCUAAACAUUUAUGGCAUACUUUGUCAGAUUUUUCACAUACUUUGUCAGAUUUUUCAGACUUUUCAAAAGCUAAACUUUUUAAUCUCAGUUUUCCUCUGAGACAAUUAUUCUUUUUUUUAGAGAGACAAAGAGACAAAUCUCUCUUUCUUUUUUUUUUUUUUCCAGCAAAUAUGCCCUAGAAAGAAAAAUGGUAAAAGGAAAAGAACAAAAAAAGGGGGAGGAGAAUUGUGAAGACAGGAGAGGAAGAGAAGAUAAAUUUUCAUUUACAUUUCAUAAGAUAUGAUUCAGAGGAAAUUAAGAUGUCCAAUUUCCAUCAUAAAAAACAAAGUCUGUAGUAGAAAACGUUACAUUUUAUUUAAAUCUUUAGACAUUAUUUGUAACCACAACAAACUGAAAACUUAUCUGGUGAAAUGUUACCCCCCCCUGUGAUUUUGAAAAUUAUAUGAACAAUACUAGUUUGUAGGAAUGGUAGAUUUCUUUUAAAAUCUUUAAAUCUUAUUGAAACAGUAGUUUAGGCAGUUUGGUUUUUUAAGUGGGUCACGCUUUGCUUUUGCAGAUCUUGAGCCAUGGCAGGUCAAGUGCUUGUUUUAAAGAGGUAAGUGAAGAAGCAUUCCAGCUUAUUCACUCUAAUUCAGUUCUUGAGCCAAUAAAACCAGAAAGAUGAAGUUUUUCAUGACUACCCUCUUCAAACCCCUUAUUAUACUGCAGCUGGCACUACAGAGCAAUAAAUUACACACAUAUAUAUAUGCAUACACGCAUUCCUAAUUGUCACACACCUUAUUUAGCUUAAAAAGUGGCAAAAGCCUGGUCAGGAGGAAUGGACUAUUAGCAAAAGCUGUGUGUCGCAACCUCCUCAGAUCUGAGGGUGCUCAGAUGUUCUGAGAGCCACCUGGUCACGUAGCAUGGCAAAAUGGAAAGAGGGCCACACCCAAGGAGAGAGCAGAGCUAGCUGCCAAGGUCCUGAAAACCAUUCCAACACAUUGCACAAGUGUGGAAAUGGUACAAGAAAAGCACAAUGCAGGACAAGUCCUCAGCUCUCCAGACUGCAGAUCACUGCACAGCUGCCCCCAGCAUGGAAGCCAGAAACAAAUCCCUGGUGAUUCAAAGUGCAGCUUCACAGGACUGUACUCACCAAGGGAAACAGAAGGGAGGAGUAUACCCUUGGGAAGAAAGCAGUAAAGUGUCAGCUGUCAUCCUAAGGAAAAGUUACAUACUAGCAUAAGUAACACCUGUGAAAUGUUGAAAUGCUACGUAGCUGCGUGUCUGGCACGAUGAUACACAGAGGUGGGGCAGAUAAAGGAUGGUCACCGAUAAUACCAGACGGCUUGGUGCACACUCCCAUGUCACCAUUACCACAGUCAUUUUGUACUGUCAAUGCUUGAUCAUUGAUGACAGACCUCCUAAAUAAUUUGCAAUGCAUGAAGGGUUCAUUGCCUUCCCUGGGCAAUGCCACACUGAGUAUGUGGCUGUCCACAUUAUCUCACUCGUGCAAAGCGCAGACGUGUGCUGGUUUGAGAGACCUUUUAUUUUGUCCCUGCUUGGGAGACUGUAGUUUAUUCAUUAGCCCAGCCCUGAAGACCUCAGCACUAUCACAUUCCAGGACGACUUCUCACAUGACUUUAGGCCAUCAUUAUUCCUCUCUAAAUGAAACACAUUUUUAUCCACUGCUUCCACUAAAUUUGUUCACAGUAUUACAUGAAGCAUGCAAUAACUUAGAUGAAAUUCAAUUCCAAACAGAGCUGAAUAUGAAUACUAUUCAGGAUUCAGAUCCAAUGUAGAGUUGAACAUAACCCUUUUAUACUUCAUCUGCAUCAAGAUGAAUGUAUCGAAUUGCUCAGAAGAAUUGUCCAAGUGACAGCUGUCUUAAGUUGCCAGCCAAGAAUAAAUAAAAACAAAUUGUCUGAUACAAGUUCAAGUUUGAGUGUUUUUAACUGUAUAUAUAAAACCCCAACAAUCUCCUUAAUAAACUUUGUGAGUACUUGAAAGAUGUCUACCAGAAUAAGAAUCUACUGGAAUCCCCACCUUUAAAUAUAUUUUAAAGGGGUGAAGGGAGCCUUCUUGACUCAGUAUAUCCACUGCCAUCUCGAAUGCCAAAGUAUUAGAGUACAACAUAGAUUCCUCCUGCACCAAUAUUCCAGGACCUAUAUUCCGUCUAUGAAAAUGAUACAUAACUCCAUGCCAUCUUCCCUCCUGUGUUGUCCCCUUCUCUAAGGCCCAUGUUCAUUGUCAGCUGUAGUUCUGUACACCUACAAUCAACCACAGCUUAGAUGCUCUCCUAUUAAUCUCACCAAAAAGCAUCAGGAAUAUAAAAGAUGUUUUCAAGGUCUCUCUGAGACAGCCAUAAUAAUGGGACAUAACCUAACCUAGAUGUUAUUUUUAGGAAAUAAGAGAGUUGGUGUCUUAACCAUGUUGGAAACAGCAAAAUGAAAACCUUUGUAAGUUAAUACUGAAGUGAAUUUGUGGUUCAAAUGGGGAUAAGAGGAAUAAUGAGCUGGGAAUAUGGAAAAAAAGUUAACCGACAAGGAAAUUGCCAUGAUGCCAUCAGUCUAGUCAGCAGCACAGGAUUUUAUUAAGCAGAGAAGUAAUUUUGUUGAGCAAUACUCAGAGUGCUUUUGUCAUGGAUAGCUGAGAACCUUUCUUGUGCUGUAAUCAGCCAUAGAUUUCCAGACUUUUUGAAAGACAAAUGGAUGAGCAUGUCUUCAGCAGGCUAAAGCCAAAUCCCAAAAAUCAGUGGACCUGAUGCCCAAGCUUUUUAACAUCUUGACUUCUCAGAAUUUUGGUUCUCUGCCUACACAAGCAGCUCUGCUGCAGUGUUAUGAAUGCUUGCUGUGUCCUGGGAAACCUGGGCAGAAAGAUGCUUAACCAAAGAAGCUUACAAUAAGCAAAAUUAUAGAUUCCAGAAGGCCUUGAAAGGGAAAGAAAAUGGAAAUCUGUACAGAACCAGAAGCACAUCUGAAUCAACACCAGAAGUAUUUGAUGAGAAAGAAAUAAUGUUACAGAAGGAUGCCUCUCUUUUCCUAAGAAAAUGAUGUAGUGAAAAGAAGUAUUUUUGCCUUAUGAUUUGGGCAACACAACAUUUACUCAUUGAGUAAUACUAUCAAGCAAGUAAUCUUAAGCAUUUUUAAUGUCCUUCUGUUUUACUAUCACUGUGGAAGUCAAACAAAAAGAAAGAGAAACAAAGUUGCUACAUCAAGAACAGUUACUGUGAAGUACAGGAAGAGGCGAGAAGAAGAUUCGUUAAACCAUCCUGGAAGAUUGUUUAACAAGAUGAAGAAGAUGAAAAGGGAAAACCAGGGUAUACUAAGAUAGAAGUUUAUUAUAGACUAGCUUUUUGGGUGGAGAGAAGUCGUGUUUUUUGAUCACACAAGGAAAGCAUCCAAAAGGACAGAACUUGAUGGCUUUAAUUACUUCUUGAAAUUAAUUUUUUUUCUGUUGAAAAAUAAAUACAAGAAGGAGACAGUCCAACAAGUUCUUGGAAUACGCUGGGGACAGCUUUUUCUUUAGAAGGUAAAGAAAACCAUUAAGGGAGUGGCUAUUUUAGAUCUUCUGCUGACUAGUAGGGCACGAACUGGCUGAGAGUGAAAGGCAAUCCAGGUGAAAGUGAACACCAUGAUUUAAUAGUCACUACCAUAAAAAAGGAAAGAAGCAAAAUCAAAUUACUUUUUUUUUCCCCAGAAAACAAACACGAAAUUUUAUGAGCUCCAAAGACUGAUAAGCAAGAUUUUGUAGGAAGACUGUUUAAUUAACAAAAGAAUGUAGGAGAGCUUGUCUUAGUCAUUGCUGGAGUCAGUUCUUAAUUACUCAAGGUAAAGGGAAUAAUAUGAAUUAAGUAAAAACAGAGGAUAAAACAAAUUAGUCUGGGUACAUUAUUCUGCAAGACUCUACUCAGUGCAUUUACCUUUGAAAGGCUUAUGAACAGAUUUCCAUAGAAAGCACAGCAACAGAGAGCCUGAUGCAAACUGCUUAUGUUUUCUAAUCCACUGUUUUCUACCACUGUCCUACAAGAAAUGCUGAGGGAAGGCAGGGCUUCCUUAAAUCCCAAUCCCCAUAAACCAUCUGUCAUCAGCAGGUGACUGUGUUAUUACACACAUUAGGAGAUUAUCCCAAUACAAAAGAAACUGCUGAAUUCACACACACACACACACAUCCCCCAGGCAAUUUCCUUGAUUUUUAUAAUUUAUCUAACAAUCAGACUUUUGCAUUAUACAUCAAAGUAUAAAAUUAUGUGGCCUAGUCUCACUCACUUUCAGAAGCUUCAUUUAAAAGGUUUUAAAUGUUCUUAGUAAAAAUGGAUUGGUUCCAGGUUAGAGAAAUGACACCCUAACAGUUUAAUUUAGCUGUAAGUAUGAACAAAUUUUUCCAGAAGAAGAACUAAAUGCCAACUCAGAGCUUUCUAAGCAACAGCUGAAGCCUCCUAUUCCUCUUAUUUCCACUGAAAAAUAUAAAACAUCUACUUGCUUUUCUAGAAGUCCCUGGAAGAAGCUAAUAUACACGACAGCAAUAGGGUGAACAGCAAUUUUUUUGGUUGGAAAGCCAAUUUCACAGCUAGCUCUUCUACAAUGGAAUGUCAUCCCAGCACAGUAAAUGUGCCAUUUUGCUGUUUCGUGAACAACUGAGAUCUUUUUGUAGGAUGUUCCAACAGUACCAAUAGAACUAAGAUCCUGAAUGAGACCAGAAGGGAUAUUUGGGGUUUGUGUUAUUUGUGUAUUCAGCUAAAGACCAAUGAGUCUUUUCGAAAUGCCUAAGUUAGUAGAUGAGACUUGCUGGCUUGAGAAGACUGAAAAAUAAAUGUGUUUGUUUUAAAGACAGAAUAUUUUAAGCCUUCAUCAAAUGUAUUCAGAUGAAUAUUAGUUCCACAACCAAGAAGAAAGAAACUUUUGCAAUUACUGGCCUGCUGAGUGCUUUUCUUAAUGUGGAAAAAUAGUAUUUCUCUCUCCAUGGAAAUAUUACAAUAAAGACAAGAAUGGCAUUGCACAACUUUGUCUGCAAUCUGAAAUUAAGUUCUCACAUUAGAACAGGAGUAAUUAGCAUUUUCCCUAGCUUGCUUCCAUGCAGUAAUACUGCUGCCAAGCAAAUGAGUAACACUACAUGAGCUAAAUGAACACUAGAAACAAACGUGUAGCCAUUCCUCCUUCUCUGUGAAAAAACUUACCGAGUGUCCUGGUUCAGGGCAAAUUUGGGAGAAAAACAGUACGAGGACACAAUUUCACACCAAAAAACCAGAGCUGACAGAAGCAGCCUGGGAGGUUUCAACCCAAAGAUGUUGCAUUGGAAAACAGCCAGCUCCAGAUUUCCAAACAGAACCAGUAUGUGGACUCCCUGAACAGUCUGCAGUAAGCUACUUACCACAUCUAUGUCACCUCUUCCCACUGCCUCAGCAAUCCCAUUUCUGUGUCCCUGGUUAUAGAACAGAAGAGCCAACUUCAGCUCUGUUAUACAAAGUGGUUGCUACAGUGGGACACCUCUUGCACACAUCUACCUACUCACAGAGUUUCAAGGGGUGGAAAUCUGGAGCAGACACACGUCUUUGAACGGACGAACUUCAGAACAACAAUGGCUGUACCUGGAAGCAAGACCCCAUAUCCUUCUCAGGCAAUGAGUUUCAGCCCAGCAGCUGCUUCAUCAGAUUUAUCACCACCAAGACCCAGCACCUGCCAGGGAAAACUUGUACUACAAGCAGGAGGCACCAACACCACAAAGCAGCUGGUGGGAACACCAAAGCCACUGAGAGAGGACAUCAGCAAGCUCCUGGGAGUCAUCCAAGAUGGACAUGACAUCUGUACCUCUAUGGCCUUUCAAAUCAAGAUCAGGGGACAACAGUGACAUUUCUAGUAACCUCCAGGGCAGCAGAUGUAUCAGUGAUAACAUUCUCUACUACCUAAACAAGGCAGGGCAGCAGGGAAUGUCACACUGCAGCAAGAUAUGAUCAGCUAUUUGCUUGGACAUGAAUUUGUGUCCAGAUUUGUGCUUACAUGGAUUAAGAAAUAUAAACACGGAAGUUCAACAACAAGUACUCAAAUAUAAAGCCUACAAGGAAGAAAGAAAACUUACACAAUAAAAAGUUAGACAGUGAAAUAAUGUUGGAUGUGCAAAUCUGUAUUUCAUUAAAGCAUUAAAAAGACACUAUUUAGUUCAUUUUAUAAACAAAGUAGGGCAAAUUUUUCUCUAGUUAUGUGAUAAAGCAUACUGGGCAACAACAGCCUUUCCUGUCUUUCCUAGGCAAUAUUAUUAAGCUCUGAAGUUUAGGAUUUAUUUUUCCUUGCUCUAAGCUUACUAAGUGCAAAUUUUUUAAUUUGUAAAAAUUAUCAAGGACUUUUCUAAAACUAAGCUGCAGCUCUGACCUCAUGUGCACCCCAGGCAGUUCAUUUCAAGAGCUUUCAAAAUACAAUGUCAUUUUUUAAUUCCUUUAAGAAAAAUCAGCUUUAAACUUCCUUUAAUAAUUUUGUAAUUCCUUCAUUAAAGAUCUUGUGUAGGUUUUAAAGAUACAUAAAACAGUACUGUUCAUCAGCUUUAUAUAAGAAAAUAUUCAUUUUUUUGGCAACCUGGAUUACUUCAUAGUGACUUUUCUGAUUUUCCAAGUCACAGCUGGUUCUUUUUUCCUCUGUCUUCCAGAUUAUCUACAUGCAUAAAAUUCACCACAUGUUUAACUAUCAAGGUUCUUCCACCAAUUUUUCCAAACACAAAGUGAUACAACAAAUAUUUCAGUGAAUAACAAAUCAUUAACUAUGAAUAAGCACCUAAGGGUGUGCACUGGGUCUGGCUGGAAUGGAGCUAAUCUUCUACAUAGCACCUCAUAUGGUGCACUAUUUUAGAUCAAAACAAACAAACAAAAAAAUCCCACCACAUCAAAGUUUCAGCUACUGCUGGACGGAGCUUGUACAGUACCAAGGGUUUAUCAAUUUCUCAGACAUUUUCCCCAGCAAGUGGGCUGGGAGAAAACAGCUAACCCAAACUGAUCAAAGGGAUGGAUAUUCCACAACAUGGAACAUCAUGCUCAGCAAUACAAAUUGUUUUUGUGAUGUUUUUCCAAAGUAGCUGCUGCUUAGACACUGGCUGGGCACUGGUCUGCUGGUGGAAUUAUUGAGGGACUGUA